UCUGGUCUGAUUGCUUGUGUUUCAUUUGUGAAAUCAUAAAAGGUGUUGCCUGCAUAUGAUAAUGGGAGUGGUCAUGGCAGCAUCCUGAGAAGAGCAGCAAAGAUGUGACUUUGAGGUCUUGGAGGAGGCAAGCAUGUUGACCAGGGUACGGAAGGACCCGUGCAGCCCAGAGAACAUCUGAGAAGAGAAAGCAGUCGUGCUGAAGACUUCUGACUGAUUAAUAUGGCUAAAGCCUGUGGACACAGCUGCUUAUAUCUCCAGUUCACACUUCCUUACCAACUCCUCAGCAUAGUCUUCUUGAUAGUGCAAUGCUCUGGUUCUGCUCUCUGCUGCGCUAGUGGAAUCUGGCACCAACUACAUGCACAGGAACUGCAGAUUAUAUAACACAAGGGAUUACAGCGUGUUUCGUGGACACAAAGUGUCCUGUAGUUGGAAUGGAGAUGAUCUAGGCCAUGCUCUGUAACCUGCUGAGGAAGCCAUGGAGAACCGUAGGGAUGGACAAAGUUGCCUAAGACUUAGUACCAUAUUACUGCAGAGCUAAGACCAUAAUCUAAGGCUCAUGGGUCUCAUUCUAGUGCUAUGGAUGUGUAUUUAUUUUACUAACUAAUUGUGAAAGAAAAAUUAGAAAAUCCAGAUGAGUGGAAAAAAAAAAAAAAACAUGGUAUACAUGAGACUUUUCCCACCAAGAGAAAGUCACCA